ncrna:Lottia gigantea (owl limpet) microRNA lgi-mir-1994a precursor
UCUCAGGGGAAGUCACUCUCGUCUCCAUGCCCCGAUAUCAGCAUGAGACAGUGUGUCCUCCCUUGAGU